UUCAAUACUCUGUUAGCAAUAACAGAGUGUGCACUUCUCUUUUAGUAAGACGUUGUGAUCCAUUAGAAAUUGAUUGUCCCAUAUGGUUUGACAAUCAUUGGGCUACCAAUAGUCUGACAUUGAAGUUCACGAUGACAAAUAAUGCAGUCAUUUUUAACGAUUGUAUAUAUUGUCUUGUGAGCAUGUCAUAAGCUGGUGUAGCCGUCUGAUGGAUUUUAAAGGUCACAACAUUAAUAUCCUUGUGGUAUUACGACAAUCGGCAACGGUUGGCGUGUUUUCGUUGUGUACCCGAUCAACAACGGUUUCAUUUGGGAUACCUUUGGGACCCGUCUUGAAACACGGACCAAGGAGUCUAUCUAGUAUGCAAGUAAAUGGGAAUAUUGUAAACCUAUUUGCGUAAAUAACUUGACUGUU
rnacentral:rRNA from 1 species